CCUACGGGGGGCAGCAGUGAGGAAUAUUGGUCAAUGGGCGGGAGCCUGAACCAGCCAAGUCGCGUGAGGGAAGACGGUCCUAUGGAUUGUAAACCUCUUUUGUCGGGGAGCAAAGAGAUCACGUGUGGUCAAAAGCGAGAGUACCCGAAGAAAAAGCAUCGGCUAACUCCGUGCCAGCAGCCGCGGUAAUACGGAGGAUGCGAGCGUUAUCCGGAUUUAUUGGGUUUAAAGGGUGCGCAGGCGGAGGUGCAAGUCAGCGGUCAAAUUGCGGGGCUCAACCCCGUACUGCCGUUGAAACUGCAUCC
rnacentral:rRNA from 1 species